rnacentral:rRNA from 1 species
GACGAACGCUGGCGGCGUGCUUAACACAUGCAAGUCGAACGGAAAGGCUCCAGCUUGCUGGAGUACUCGAGUGGCGAACGGGUGAGUAACACGUGGGUAAUCUGCCCUGCACUCUGGGAUAAGCCUGGGAAACUGGGUCUAAUACUGGAUAUGACCUUUCUCCUUAUGGGGUUUGGUGGAAAGUUUUUCGGUGUAGGAUGAGCCCGCGGCCUAUCAGCUUGUUGGUGGGGUGAUGGCCUACCAAGGCGACGACGGGUAGCCGGCCUGAGAGGGUGAUCGGCCACAUUGGGACUGAGAUACGGCCCAGACUCCUACGGGAGGCAGCAGUGGGGAAUAUUGCACAAUGGGCGGAAGCCUGAUGCAGCGACGCCGCGUGAGGGAUGACGGUCUUCGGGUUGUAAACCUCUUUCAGCAGGGACGAAGCGUAAGUGACGGUAUCUGCAGAAGAAGCACCGGCUAACUAUGUG